AGCACGUUGAAACAUCAGUUUCCGUACGAUCACCGAAGUUAAGCGAUGUCGAACCUGGUUAGUAUCUAGAUGGGUGACCGCUUGCGAAUACCAGGUACUGUAAG